ensembl:lncRNA
GUUCCAGAAAGACAUAUACUAAAUGAUCUUCUUUGUGUGGUGGUUUAUGAGUUUUUGAAUAAUACUUUUUUGAAUUAUGUUCAAAACAUGUUACCUGCUGCGUUCUGUCUACUGAGAGAGCAAAGGAAGAGGAAAUGGCCGUGUACAGAGUUUAAUUGAGACGUAAGAAGAAUUUCCUGAAGGGUGACCAUGUGACACAGUCCUGGCCAAUAAGAUGUAAGCAGAAGCCACUGUGUGGGUCUUCCAGGUACCAGAGGUAUCCCUUUUGCCCUUUACUCUUCCUUCCUCCUCUAGCCUAGAAUGUAGACAGGAUGCCUAGAGGUGCUGGCCAUCGUGUAACCUGAGAACAAGGGCCACCUCUAAAGCUGGUGAGGGGGACGCCUGUGUGCCUGAUGGCAUUGUGGGACUGCAAGACUAGCCCUGGACUGCCUAAUCUAGGCUCCUUGCAUGAGAACAAGAAAACCUUUAAGCCACUGGUGUUUCUUACUAGCAGCCAAACACAAUGCCUGCCUGAUAGAUAAUCUAAGCCACUUAUUUCGCAGAGAGGAGACAGAGACUCAAGAAAGUUCCAUAAAUCCGGGCAGGCUGUAUCAAGUUAAAACUUUCUCCCUCUGGAAUGACAGAAAACCCAACCCCAGGCCUCUUAAGCAAAAAAAAAAAAAAAGAAUUUAUCAAUUCAGAUAAUUAAAGUCAGACGUGGCUUCCUCCAGAGACUCAAAUGAUUUUUUUCACGUUCUGGUUUUUCUCUCUCCCCAUCUCUUGGCAAUGCUUCCUCUGCUCGCUCCACUUCAGGCAGGCUCUUUCCUCUUUGUGGUAAGGUGGUGCCAGCAGCUCCAGCCUUACCCCACCCAGGAUUAAGUCUGGAAGGAAAGCAAAAACUUCUCCCUGGAGGAAAACCACAAUGCUCAGGAAAAGUGUGACUGCCUG